AAUGUGCGGAAAAAAAGCCAUGCUCAAGCGAACUAAAAUGCGUCAACACUCCUGGAUCUUAUACUUGCUCUUGUGACAAAGGUUUUGAUUUUGAUGGGAUGAAAUGCACAGACGUUGAUGAAUGCGAAGCAGGGAUUCAGGACUGCUCAUUUUAUGCAAACUGCUCAAACUCCCCUGGAUCCUUUUCAUGCCAAUGCGAGCAAGGUUAUGUUGGCAAUGGUAAAAAAUGCUGAGACGUGGAUGAAUGUUCAAACAUCAACGAUGUGUGUUAUUCACUGGCCAAUUCAAAAUGUGUGAACACAGUUGGUUCGUAUCAAUGCCAAUGUUUGGACGGAUAUUCAAGAAACGAAACGAAUUGUGCAGGUAGGCGAUGAAAUGAUGACGUAAUUUGCGCGCGGCAUGCCUCUGAUCGUUUCCCCCCUGAAAUUAUUUAGACGUAGAUGAAUGUCUUUAUGGGGAGAUACCAGAUAAUUGCGGGAAAAAUACAAUAUGUAUCAAUUAUCCCGGAGGAUUCGAAUGCGAAUGCAAAGAAGGAUAUGAGCGUUACACGGAGACAGGAGAAUGCCAGAAACAAGGUACUGACCUUGUCUUGUCUUUGGUUUGCCCUCGUAUAAUGUCUCUUUUUGGAACCGGCAGGACUCCAGGAAAUAUUUACAAUCAAAGGUGUUUUUCUUCUAGAUGUUGUGAACGAGCAGAGCUAUGUCACGUUUAUUCUUUUCAUCACGAUCAUUGCCGUUGCUUUAGUCUUGCUCGUGAUUAUUUGCUGUUGUAAGUGGUGAGUAACGCUAUCGUUCUAGUCGUUGUGAUUACAGCAGCCUUUGCUGUCAUCAUUGCUGCAUUAUGUUGCAUUCCUGCAGUACAAGUGUUGCUUUAGUGCUGUUUUUGUUCCUCUCGUUCCCGUUGAGUUUUUCAACACGA